GGCACGCAUACAAACUAUCUUCUUCUGGUCCUGUUUUUAUCUCUUUGGUCUUCGCGGGAGUGUUUUUCCCCCAGCUUCGGUUAUGUGAAAGCUGUACCCCCAAAGCCCUUUCUGCCUCUCGCUCACUUCCGAGCUGGUACUUGCCUUGGCAAACCGGCAGAAAAUCAGAGCACGGCUGUUAUUUUUCAAAAAAUACGAGGAAGCAGUGUUUCUGAGCAGCAGUCAUUUUUAACCCAGCACUCACAGAAAACGCACUGCACAUGUGCAGCAUGACAGCAAGGAACGCCAGGGAACGUUCUAGAGGGGCGUGAGACAAGGGGGAAAUGAGAGACUGCUCGUCUGGAAUACUAAAGCAUUCCCUGGCUUUCCGAGACGCGCUGGCAAACCACGCCGGAGCUGAGAUUUCAUUAUGCCUAUGAUUCUAUUAAAAUGCGAUCUGGUAUUCAAGGCAACCUCCACUUGUGUGUGCGCAUGUGUGGGUGCCUUUGUGAGUGCAUGUGCGCGCGUGUGUGCCUGUGUGUGUGCGUGCGUGCGUAUUUCUGCCUGUGUGUUUGUGUGGUGUGUGCCUGUGUGUGUGCAUGCGUGUGUGCCUGUCUGUGUGUGGUGUGUGUGUGUGCGCACGUGUGUGUACCUGUGUGUGUGUGUGUGUGUGUGUGCACGCAUGUGUGUGUGUGUGUGGUGUGUGCCUGUGUGUGUGUGCCUGUGCGUGUGUCUGCAUGUAUGUGUGCAUGUGUACCUGUGUGUGCAUGUGUGCCUGUGCGUAUGUGCCUGUGUGUGUGCGUGUGCAUGCGCGCAUGUGUGCGUGUGGUGUGUGCCUGUGUGUGCGCACACGUGUGUGCCUGUGUGUGUGUGUGUGUGUGUGCACAUGCGUGCUUGUGUGUGCGUAUGUACCUGUGUGUGUGGGGGGGGGGAGCUGUUUGACCUAUGGCAAGGAACAGUCUCUGAGAAACAAGAUGGAUUCUUUGACUCUGGCCUCUGUGUGUGGGAAGGAGCUGCAGCUCUAGCUUCCCUGUCGGCACAUCUUCAAAGGGAAGCCUCCCUCCAAUCAGACGCACGCAGAGAGCCAGCUGCACCGUAGCCUACUCACACACGCAGCAUUGAUCCCCAGAAUGCCUUCUGACCCCCCGGCAAAAUCAAAAAUGCGCUGAACUCGGCUGAUGUUGCCAUGGGAGCGAUGAGAGAAUCGGUACAGAAUACCCUGUGGAGCGCACUACACCCCCUGGAUUGAGAACGUAGUGUACAGUUCUGAAACAGCUCGACAAAAUGGUGUCUGUUACAAGCUGGAAGGGACGGACUGUUACUGUGGCCGCCGUGUACUUGGGAAUAAUCAACGACCCACACUCAACGACACAAGGGAUCUGAAGGGGAUACACCUUAAAAUGCUCAGUGUCACCAGUAACACUUAACAAAGUUGUUUAUAGUGAGCUCAUAGAGUGUAAAUGAGUUCAAGAGGGAUUCCAGCAAAAUGUACACUAUUAGAGUUAAUUAAAUGCUGAAUGGUUUAAUGAGUUGAAA